rnacentral:rRNA from 1 species
CAUUAGGAGUUAUCCUGGCUGGCAGUUUCGCCUUAUCCGGCCUGUAUGCACUUAUCAGGCAGCACCACUACUCACGGAUAAAUUAAAUUCAACAAUGGAUACGGUUUCCCAAGAUCGUCAACCUCCGAACGUCCCGUCACCUUAAAUCCCAUUUUCUUAUAAAAUCCAACAGCUUGUGUAUUUUGCUCGUUAACAUUGGUUGUCAACCCCGGCGCCAGUGUUAACGCAUGUUCAACUAAUCUCUUACCGAUACCCUGACCACGCACGUCCGGAUCGACAAACAGCGCAUCCAUAUGUUCGCCGGUAAGCAGCAUAAAUCCUACCGGCUCAUCCUGAUCGGUCACGGCAACCCAUAGUGGCGCUUCUGGCAGAAAAUCGCUCACCAGCUCUUCCAGUUCGGCCCGAUAAGCGUUUGACAGAAAAUCGUGCGUGGCAUCGACUGAGCGACGCCAGAUCGCAAUCAGUUUUUCCCCUUCCUCAUGCCUUGAACGGCGAAUGUUAAUCAUCAUCUUCACUCCUUUUUUGCUUACUUCUAUUCUAAUGCAAAUGCUGUCGUGAAACUUUCUCACCUUGAACUUGCAGACUCGACAUUCGCCUGAUUUCUGAGUAUCUUCAGCUAUCUGGAUGUCUAAACGUUUAAACGUAUGUCGUGAGGUUAUCAGGUUAUGCCGAUUCGCGUGCUGGACGAGCUACCCGCCGUCAAUUUUUUACGUGAGGAGAAUGUCUUCGUCAUGACGACUUCUCGCGCAUCAGGUCAGGAAAUUCGCCCGCUAAAGGUACUUAUCCUUAACCUGAUGCCGAAGAAGAUUGAAACGGAAAAUCAGUUUCUGCGUUUGCUAUCGAACUCGCCAUUGCAGGUCGAUAUUCAACUACUGCGGAUAGAUGCCCGCGAGUCGAGGAACACGCCAGCCGAGCAUCUGAACAACUUUUACUGUAACUUCGACGAUAUCUGCGAUCAGAACUUUGAUGGGCUUAUCGUGACCGGAGCGCCGCUGGGUCUGGUGGAAUUUAAUGACGUGGCUUACUGGCCGCAGAUUAGGCAGGUGCUGGAAUGGGCGAAAGAUCACGUUACUUCGACGCUAUUUGUCUGUUGGGCCGUUCAGGCCGCACUCAAUAUUCUGUAUGGUAUCCCUAAGCAGACCCGUACAGAUAAACUUUCCGGCGUCUAUGAACAUCACAUCCUUCAUCCACAUGCUCUGUUAACGCGUGGUUUUGAUGAUUCGUUUCUGGCGCCACACUCACGCUAUGCCGAUUUCCCGGCGGCGCUGAUACGGGAUUAUACGGAUCUUGAAAUUCUGGCCGAAAGAGAAGAAGGGGAUGCGUACCUGUUUGCCAGCAAAGAUAAACGUAUUGCGUUUGUCACCGGUCAUCCUGAAUAUGACGCUCAUACGUUAGCGGGUGAAUAUUUUCGUG